rnacentral:tRNA from 1 species
GGGCCCGUGGCUCAGCCAGGAGAGAGCGACGGCCUUCUAAGCCGUAGAUCGCGGGUUCAAAUCCCGCCGGGUCCG